AAUAUAUAUACAUAGAUAUAUUUCACACACACACUAGACUGGUUCAUCAUAUUUUGAUGACAGGAUGCUUGAUUGCUUCUUCUCCUGUUGGGGCAUGGCAUUGUUUUGGAUCAUCUCUUGG